AGGUUACCAUCCUAUCCAUUUAAUUUAAGAUGAUUUGGAUGUCACAGGUAUAAGGUAAUUGAGGAAGUUGGGGAUGGUACCUUGGAACUAUAUGGCAAGCUGUAUACAAGCUAACUAGUGAGGUGGUUGUGGGUUUGUUGUAUAUGAAGUUCGAUCAAUAAUGGUAACUCCCUCUCCUUUUUGUUGCAUUGUAAAAAGAAAUACAUUUGCUUGGUUUGCUGGUUGCAGGUGGUUUAGCUGAAAAUCAUAUCUACUUUGCAAACCAUGUCAAGAUUUCUAGA